CCCUCGAUUGAAGCUCCAACUCAAUUGCAAAUCAAAAUUACCAACCCAGAUAAUCUCUCCGGAACAACGCCUAGCUCGCCGUGCUCCACUCACUGUAAGUACCUUGACCUCUGGUUAUUCUGAACCAUUUCUUUUUCUGUUUGGGCUGUAAUUUGUAAGUUUUCUUUCUUAGUAAAUAAUAAAUAAAGCUUUGCUGCUGAUGACUAUUUUCUUGGAUAAGAUUAUAUUAUUUAGAUUGUGAGCUCACCUAUUUGUGAUUUGUAUCUCAGCUAACAGCAUAUCUCAUAACCGAAGGCAUGAACAAGUGCUUCAGUAUUGCUGGUGGCAAUCCAUUGCUUGAGGUGACAUCGUGUGCAAGAUUAUCCCCAUGGAGGGCGCUGGCACGGUGACACCCUCCUCGACCUGUUGAUCCCAUGACUUAGGUAAGCUUACUCCCCUUUCCUCAUGGCUGAUUUCUAUUUUUUGUGUUGCUCUGUUCGAUUUGGUGGUUCCCCAUGUCCCAUUAGAUACCUUCCCAAUGGCUAGGGCCUCCAUGUUAUAUAUGGUGUUCACGGUGAGAUAAAGUUUGAGGUCGAUUUGAUCCGUAGUUAUUCUUUGCGACUAAGUUGACAUAUUGCUAUAUGUGAGCACACUUAUAGAUUUUGGUCCUCUGGAUAUGGUAUUUUUUUACUACGCUUUACAGAUAUGGCUUUUUUUGUAGACAUUAUUAUGCGAAAAAAUUGCUACGAGGGUACUAUCAGUAAUAGCUUUUGUUUUCUAUCUGUUCUCCACUGGCCAUUUUCUGUGCAGUUUGUUUUCUUUUAUAUUUGUGCUUGGUUACAAGUUUUUGUGUACUUGUUAUAGAUCUCUCUCUCUCUCUCUCUCUCUGACCAAUGAUCUUGGCUCGCAGGUCACCGAGGCAGACGAGGUUAUGGAUUACCUGAUGAGGUACUACUGAAUACUGAUGAUCUUACAUGUCUCUCUCUCUCUCUCUCAUGUCAAGUUCAAUUCCCUCUUAUUUUGCAGAAUGGAAUAUUUUGUUGCUUUUUGCAAUGCUAUAUUUGUUAUAUACUGUGUGAUGGAAGUAUAUGUUUUCCUGCCUUUGGACGCAGAAGCGAGCCAUCGCCGGCGGGCUAACGCUGUUGCACGUCAUGGCGGGGACGGCCUUGUGGCAGUCGUGCGUGCGCUACUCGAGUUGGGCACCGAUGUGGAGGCCCCUGGUCAGAAGGGACGCGGCUGGAGCUGCUGCUGGAGGAGACGCGGAAGCGUUGGACCCGACUCCUUUGUGCAGCCAUGCUAGCCUGCUGGAAGAUCCAUGGCCUGCCUGGCCAGCGUGACCAUUGAACAAAUCGUCUCUCAAAACCCUCCCUCCUCCUCGUAAGUGUUGAUUUCAAUUGUUUGCACCAACUUCUGCUUUGUCCGCAAUGUUACAGAUGCUUGUAGAUUUAGCAAAUAUAAUUUCUUAUUAUAUGUUUUCACAUUUGAAUUUGCAUCCUGGUUUUGCUUCGAGGAUUGUAGUUCA
rnacentral:lncRNA from 1 species